AAACAUUUUACAUAAUUAAAAACAAAGAUAUUAAAAUUAUUCUUUUUAAACAAGAAAAGGUGGAUUCUGGGCUAUUACCCCACAUUGAUAAUUAGUUAUUAAUUCUUGACAAUUGGCUAUUAAUUUUUAUAAUUGGCUAUUAAUUUUCUAAAUAUUAACAAAGAUGAGUACACUCCAGCCUAAAAACAUCCAGAGGCCCGGAUCCAUUACUGGAUCCAUUACUAAUGAGGGCAUGAGGGUGUGCUUGUAUUUUUUUCAGAUAACUUUGAUAAACCUGUCCGGAUACCGGAGAAAGAUGUCGGAGUGUAUAUAACAACUCACAGCUUGAAUACAGAGUAUGAGAAUUCGGGGAAAGCACAGAAGGAGCCAAUCUACAGUGACAAGUUGCCUUCCCACAUGGGGUCCAGUGAAAGCUCCCUCUCAUCGAGAUUUGCAGUUUCUAAACCAGAUAUGAUCUACCAGAUGGAAAGAAUGGAAUCACCUUGGAUGUCAGAGGCAGAUAUUCAAAGAAGCAACUUUCCAGAGAGCAGAGAAUUUACCGGAGAGAAAUCUCCUGAAUGUAAUGAACGUGGGAAGGCCUUCAGAAGUAAUUCAUGACUUACAGUGCAUCAGAGAAUUCGUAUUGGAGAUAUUCUUUAUGAAUAUAAGGAGUGUGGGAAAGCUUUUCUCUACUACUCAGAAUUUGUUCAUUAUAAAAGAAUUCAUAAUGGACAGAAACCUUAUGAAUGUAGUGAAUGUGGACAGGCCUUCAAAAGUAAGGGACAUCACACUGAGCAUCAGAAAAUUCAUACUGGAGACUUUCUUUAUGAAUGUAAGGA